rnacentral:rRNA from 1 species
UACAGAGGGGGCAAGCGUUGUUCGGAAUUACUGGGCGUAAAGGGCGCGUAGGCGGCCGCCUAAGUCAGACGUGAAAUCCCUCGGCUCAACCGGGGAACUGCGUCUGAUACUGGGUGGCUUGAAUCCGGGAGAGGGAUGCGGAAUUCCAGGUGUAGCGGUAAAUGCGUAGAUAUCGGAAGGAACAUCAGUGGCGAAAGCGACUUCCUGGACCAAUACUGACGCUCAUGUGCGAAAGCGUGGGGAGCAAACAGG